rnacentral:rRNA from 1 species
AUCUACAGGCUUAACACAUGCAAGUCGAGGGGCAGCAUGGUCUUAGCUUGCUAAGGCCGAUGGCGACCGGCGCACGGGUGAGUAACACGUAUCCAACCUGCCGUCUACUCUUGGACAGCCUUCUGAAAGGAAGAUUAAUACAAGAUGGCAUCAUGAGUCCACAUGUUCACAUGAUUAAAGGUAUUCCGGUAGACGAUGGGGAUGCGUUCCAUUAGAUAGUAGGCGGGGUAACGGCCCACCUAGUCUUCGAUGGAUAGGGGUUCUGAGAGGAAGGUCCCCCACAUUGGAACUGAGACACGGUCCAAACUCCUACGGGAGGCAGCAGUGAGGAAUAUUGGUCAAUGGGCGAGAGCCUGAACCAGCCAAGUAGCGUGAAGGAUGACUGCCCUAUGGGUUGUAAACUUCUUUUAUAAAGGAAUAAAGUCGGGUAUGCAUACCCGUUUGCAUGUACUUUAUGAAUAAGGAUCGGCUAACUCCGUGCCAGCAGCCGCGGUAAUACGGAGGAUCCGAGCGUUAUCCGGAUUUAUUGGGUUUAAAGGGAGCGUAGAUGGAUGUUUAAGUCAGUUGUGAAAGUUUGCGGCUCAACCGUAAAAUUGCAGUUGAUACUGGAUAUCUUGAGUGCAGUUGAGGCAGGCGGAAUUCGUGGUGUAGCGGUGAAAUGCUUAGAUAUCACGAAGAACUCCGAUUGCGAAGGCAGCCUGCUAAGCUGCAACUGACAUUGAGGCUCGAAAGUGUGGGUAUCAAACAGGAUUAGAUACCCUGGUAGUCCACACGGUAAACGAUGAAUACUCGCUGUUUGCGAUAUACUGCAAGCGGCCAAGCGAAAGCGUUAAGUAUUCCACCUGGGGAGUACGCCGGCAACGGUGAAACUCAAAGGAAUUGACGGGGGCCCGCACAAGCGGAGGAACAUGUGGUUUAAUUCGAUGAUACGCGAGGAACCUUACCCGGGCUUAAAUUGCAGAUGAAUUACGGUGAAAGCCGUAAGCCGCAAGGCAUCUGUGAAGGUGCUGCAUGGUUGUCGUCAGCUCGUGCCGUGAGGUGUCGGCUUAAGUGCCAUAACGAGCGCAACCCUUGUUGUCAGUUACUAACAGGUUCUGCUGAGGACUCUGACAAGACUGCCAUCGUAAGAUGUGAGGAAGGUGGGGAUGACGUCAAAUCAGCACGGCCCUUACGUCCGGGGCUACACACGUGUUACAAUGGGGGGUACAGAGGGCCGCUACCACGCGAGUGGAUGCCAAUCCCAAAAACCUCUCUCAGUUCGGACUGGAGUCUGCAACCCGACUCCACGAAGCUGGAUUCGCUAGUAAUCGCGCAUCAGCCACGGCGCGGUGAAUACGUUCCCGGGCCUUGUACACACCGCCCGUCAAGCCAUGGGAGCCGGGGGUACCUGAAGUGCGUAACCGAGAGGAGCGCCCUAGGGUAAAACUGGUGACUGG